rnacentral:rRNA from 1 species
UACGUAGGGUGCAAGCGUUAAUCGGAAUUACUGGGCGUAAAGCGUGCGCAGGCGGUUGUGCAAGACCGAUGUGAAAUCCCCGGGCUUAACCUGGGAAUGGCAUUGGUGACUGUACGGCUAGAGUGUGUCAGAGGGGGGUAGAAUUCCACGGUGUAGCAGUGAAAUGCGUAGAUAUGUGGAGGAACACCGAUGGCGAAGGCAGCCCCCUGGGUCAAGACUGACGCUCAUGCACGAAAGCGUGGGGAGCAAACAGG